rnacentral:lncRNA from 1 species
GUGUCCAGGAGUGUGGGUCUGGUGUCCAGUUCCCAUAGGAGAUAUUGAAGAUGGCAAUAGGGUUGCACUUCAUCUUCAGCUCCAGGGAUUUUAUCCUUCUCUUGGACAUCACUGGAAUACAGAGGGGGAAAAAAAAACUCCUCCAGUGUUGUUUCCUGCAAAGACCAUUCUUAAGAGCUCGUUGGACAGCUCAGGACUCUUGAAGUGAUAGCUAAUUGGUGAAAGAAAGGCCCUGAUUGUCUUGAGGGAACUGGAAAGUGCUGCGUGUGCUGCUGAAAGGGACUAGGGAGAAGGUGCCUGGUUUCGCUGAGCAGCUGCUGCUGGAGAUGUUUGGAGAUUACAUCAGCAUUGGAAAAGAGGGGCCAAAAAAAAAAGUCCAACUUCACAGAGACGGAGUUUAUGGAGGUUUUUUUCCUCCUUCCAAAGGUCUUCUGACAAUACUGUCAUUGUCAAUAUAAGAGUUGUUAAUUCUUUAUGAAUAGCACAUGGGGCCUCUUGACUAAAUAGUACGUUACAUGUCCCAAAUCUGUCAGCUGGACUCUUCUCUCACAUGCUAGUGAGAUCACUUUGAUUGGAAUGUUAGAGGAAUUGCUGGGCUGGCCGUGCAGAACUGAAUACUGCAUUAUAUAAUUAGAUCUCCCAGAGUAUUUCUUUUCACAUUACCUCUUUAUUCUAGCUUAAAUAUGGAAUCAUUCCUUUUGAUGACUUUACUGGUUGUAAUUAUAUUAAUACGAUUCAUUUUGUGGUCCUGUCUUAGUGCUUAUAUAGAUUAUAAACUGUCCCAAAGGUUUCCUGGCACAAAAAAAGAGGACUAAGAGACUUCAAAAGGCUCGUUCAGCUUUGAAUUGACAAUGGGGAGAGCUGGGUAAGGUAAACGGAGCUAGAGCAGCUUUUACCUUGGGAUCUGAUGAGAGAGAAAUGACCUGCUGAGACUGCAGCUGAGUGAAGAUCCUUCAGAAAGCCUUAUGCUGACAGAGGGGAAGGAAUGUCAACUGAUUGAGUCAAAUGACUUCCUAUCCAACUUGGGCAUGAAUUUGCUGUUGGGAACAGACU